GAUCCACUCGUCUAUUGGUUAGGACGCAAGAUUUUCUUGAGUGAAAAUUUGAAAAAAAGUUCGAUUCUUUUGUGGAUCAC
rnacentral:tRNA from 1 species